GUUAACAAAUCUGCUGAGUGUGCAAGACACUAGGAUGAUACGGUUUUCGAGUCCUUCCCAUAUCGGCUCAACAGGGCCAAAAGGCCGGAGUCCACCCUGACGACUCUGAUGGCUCAAAUUAGCAUCCCUUCUUCAAUUGUAAA